GGUCUCCGUGACGUAGCUAACGCAUUAAGCGCCCCGCCUGGGGAGUACGGCCGCAAGGCUAAAACUCAAAGGAAUUGACGGGGGCCCGCACAAGCGGCGGAGCAUGCGGAUUAAUUCGAUGCAACGCGAAGAACCUUACCAAGGCUUGACAUAUAGAGGAAAAGGCUGGAAACAGUCUCCCCGCAAGGUCUCUAUACAGGUGGUGCAUGGUUGUCGUCAGCUCGUGUCGUG
rnacentral:rRNA from 1 species